CCUUUAUUACCUAAAAACCCUUAAACAAUAUUGAGUAAUUCUAUACUUAUAUAGAAGAUUUUAUGUUAAAACUAGUAACAAGAAGUAGCACUUCUUUCACAAUGCAAAUGUAAAUCAGAAAGGACGCGCCACUGAUAACUAACAUUAAUGAAAUAAAAGUAGUAACUUAACAAGAAAAUUCUACUACACCCCAUGUUAACCUAACACCAGAGCAUUACAAAAAAGAUUAAAAGAAAAAGAAGGAACUCGGCAAAUAUUAACCUCGCCUGUUUACCAAAAACAUCGCCUCUUGAAUAAAUAUAAGAGGUCCAGCCUGCCCAGUGACUCUGUUCAACGGCCGCGGUAUCCUAACCGUGCGAAGGUAGCGUAAUCACUUGUUCUUUAAAUGAGGACUAGUAUGAAUGGCACCACGAAGGUUAUACUGUCUCCUUUUUCUAAUCAGUGAAACUAAUCUCCCCGUGAAGAAGCGGAGAUAAACAUAUAAGACGAGAAGACCCUAUGGAGCUUUAAACUUCAUUAACACUUGCACUAAUCAAUGCAAAUUUCAGAAAAAUACAUAUUAUUCAUGCAAGAUGAUUAUCAGUUUUAGGUUGGGGUGACCGCGGAGAAAAAAAUAACCUCCACAUUGAAAGGAAUUUUAAUCCUUAGCUAAGAGCUACAUCUCUAUGCACCACCAAAGUGACAUUAAUUGACCCAACAAUUUGAUCAACGAACCAAGUUACCCUAGGGAUAACAGCGCAAUCCACUUCAAGAGCUCCUAUCGACAAGUGGGUUUACGACCUCGAUGUUGGAUCAGGGUAU
rnacentral:rRNA from 1 species